AGAUAAUAGAUACCCGGGUAGUCCCAGCUGUAAACGAUGCAGACUCGGUGAUGAGUUGGCUACAUGCCAUCUCAGUGCCGCAGGGAAGCCGUUAAGUUUGCCGCCUGGGGAGUACGGUCGCAAGACUGAAACUUAAAGGAAUUGGCGGGGAGCACCACAAGGGUGAAGCCUGCGGUUCAAUUGGAGUCAACGCCGGAAAUCUUACCGGGGGUCGGACAGCAGUAUGAAGGUCAAGCUGAAGACUUUACCAGACAAGCUGAGAGGAGGUGCAUGGCCGUCGCCAGCUCGUGCCGUGAGGUGUCCUGUUAAGUCAGGUAACGAGCGAGACCCCUGCCUCUAGUUGCUACCUUUACUCUCAGGAGUAGUGGAGCUAAUUAGAGGGACUGCCGUCGCUGAGACGGAGGAAGGAGGGGG
rnacentral:rRNA from 1 species